rnacentral:rRNA from 1 species
UUGCCUCAGUAACGGCGAGUGAAGCGGCAACAGCUCAAAUUUUAAAGCUGGCGUCUUUGGCGUCCGCGUUGUAAUUUGGAGAGGCAUCUUCGGUUUGGGCGCCAGCCUAUGUUCCUUGGAACAGGACGUCACAGAGGGUGAGAAUCCCGUGCCUGGCUGGCUGYCCCUUUCCAUGUGAAGUGCCUUCGACGAGUCGAGUUGUUUGGGAAUGCAGCUCAAAAUGGGUGGUAAAUUUCAUCUAAAGCUAAAUAUUGGCGGGAGACCGAUAGCGCACAAGUAGAGUGAUCGAAAGAUGAAAAGCACUUUGAAAAUAGAGUUAAAAAGUACGUGAAAUUGUUGAAAGGGAAGCGCUUGAGACCAGACYCGGCCGGAGAUGAUCAGCCGUCCUUCUGGGCGGUGCACUCGUUUCCGGCCGGGCCAGCAUCGGUUGAGACGGCGGGAUAAAGGCCCGGGGAAUGUGGCUCCUCUCGGGGAGUGUUAUAGCCCCGGGCGCAAUGCCGCCAGCCUCGACCGAGGACCGCGCUUAAUUGCUAGGAUGCUGGCGUAAUGGUCUUCAGCGACCCGUCUUGAAACACGGACCAAGGAGUCUAACAUCUAUGCGAGUGUUUGGGUGUCAAACCCUUGCGCGUAAUGAAAGUGAACGGAGGUGGGAACCCCUCGCGGGGCGCACCAUCGACCGGUCCUGAUGUCUUCGGAUGGAUCUGAGUAGGAGCAUAGCUGUUGGGACCCGAAAGAUGGUGAACUAUGCCUGAAUAGGGUGAAGCCAGAGGAAACUCUGGUGGAGGCUCGCAGCGGUUCUGACGUGCAAAUCGAUCGUCAAAUUUGGGUAUAGGGGCGAAAGACUAAUCGAACCAUCUAGUAGCUGGUUCCUGCCGAAGUUYCCC